UGCAAGUCGAGCGAGAACCCGAGGAGGGGUAACCCUUCUCGGGGGAGAGCGGCGAACGGGUGAGUACCACGUGGGCAACCUGCCCCAGACUCUGGGAUAACCCCGGGAAACCGGAGCUAAUACCGGAUACUCUCGGCGGACCGCAUGAUCUGCCGAGGAAAGCUUUCGCGGUCUGGGAUGGGCCCGCGGCCUAUCAGCUUGUUGGUGAGGUAACGGCCCACCAAGGCGACGACGGGUAGCUGGUCUGAGAGGACGGCCAGCCACACUGGGACUGAGACACGGCCCAGACUCCUACGGGAGGCAGCAGUGGGGAAUCUUGCGCAAUGGGCGAAAGCCUGACGCAGCGACGCCGCGUGGGGGAUGAAGGCCCUCGGGUUGUAAACCCCUUUCGGCAGGGACGAAGCCGCAAGGUGACGGUACCUGCAGAAGAAGCUCCGGCUAACUACGUGCCAGCAGCCGCGGUAAGACGUAGGGAGCGAGCGUUGUCCGGAUUCAUUGGGCGUAAAGAGCGCGUAGGCGGCCGUGCAAGUCGGUUGUGAAAUCCCGGGGCUCAACCCCGGGACUGCGUCCGAUACUGCACGGCUCGAGGCAGGUAGGGGAGAGUGGAAUUCCCGGUGUAGCGGUGAAAUGCGCAGAUAACGGGAGGAACACCGGUGGCGAAGGCGGCUCUCUGGACCUGUCCUGACGCUGAGGCGCGAAAGCUAGGGGAGCGAACAGGAUUAGAUACCCUGGUAGUCCUAGCCGUAAACGUUGGGUGCUAGGUGUGGGCGGAUAUCGA
rnacentral:rRNA from 1 species